UCCAGACUCCUACGGGAGGCAGCAGUGAGGAAUAUUGGUCAAUGGGCGGAAGCCUGAACCAGCCAAGUCGCGUGAGGGAAUAAGGCCCUACGGGUCGUAAACCUCUUUUGCCGGGGAGCAAGGGCGGGGACGUGUCCCGGCCCGGAGAGUACCCGGAGAAAAAGCAUCGGCUAACUCCGUGCCAGCAGCCGCGGUAAUACGGGGGAUGCGAGCGUUAUCCGGAUUUAUUGGGUUUAAAGGGUGCGUAGGCGGCGGUUCAGGUCAGCGGUGAAAUACCGGGGCUCAACCCCGGGGCUGCCGUUGAAACCGGAGCGCUAGAAUUCCGAUGCCGUCGGAGGAAUGUGUGGUGUAGCGGUGAAAUGCAUAGAUAUCACACAGAACACCGAUUGCGAAGGCAUCUGACGAAUCGGAGAUUGACGCUGAUGCACGAAAGCGUGGGUAUCGAACAGGAUUAGAUACCCGCGUAUA
rnacentral:rRNA from 1 species